rnacentral:rRNA from 1 species
AGCGAACGCUGGCGGCAUGCCUAACACAUGCAAGUCGAACGAACUCUUCGGAUUUAGUGGCGGACGGGUGCGUAACACGUGGGAACGUGCCUUUUGGUUCGGAAUAACUCCGGGAAACUUGUGCUAAUACCGAAUGUGCUCUUCGGGCCAAAGAUUUAUCGCCAUUAGAUCGGCCCGCGUCUGAUUAGCUAGUUGGUGAGGUAACGGCUCACCAAGGCGACGAUCAGUAGCUGGUCUGAGAGGAUGACCAGCCACACUGGGACUGAGACACGGCCCAGACUCCUACGGGAGGCAGCAGUGGGGAAUCUUGCGCAAUGGGCGAAAGCCUGACGCAGCCAUGCCGCGUGAAUGAUGAAGGUCUUAGGAUUGUAAAAUUCUUUCACCGGGGACGAUAAUGACGGUACCCGGAGAAGAAGCCCCGGCUAACUUCGUG